rnacentral:rRNA from 1 species
UAGGGAGCGAGCGUUAUCCGGAUUUAUUGGGUGUAAAGGGUGCGUAGAUGGAUAAACAAGUUGGUUGUGAAAUCCCUCGGCUUAACUGAGGAAUUGCAACCAAAACUGUAGAUCUUGAGUACUGGAGGGGAAAGCGGAAUUCCUAGUGUAGCGGUGAAAUGCGUAGAUAUUAGGAAGAACACCGGUGGCGAAGGCGGCUUUCUGGACAGAAACUGACAUUGAGGCACGAAAGUGUGGGGAGCAAA